rnacentral:rRNA from 1 species
GGGGAUAACACUUGGAAACAGGUGCUAAUACCGCAUAAUAGUCGACACCGCAUGGUGUUGAUUUGAAAGACGCUUUCGGGUGUCACUGAUGGAUGGACCCGCGGUGCAUUAGCUAGUUGGUGAGGUAACGGCUCACCAAGGCGAUGAUGCAUAGCCGACCUGAGAGGGUGAUCGGCCACACUGGGACUGAGACACGGCCCAGACUCCUACGGGAGGCAGCAGUAGGGAAUCUUCGGCAAUGGACGAAAGUCUGACCGAGCAACGCCGCGUGAGUGAAGAAGGUUUUCGGAUCGUAAAACUCUGUCGUUGGAGAAGAACAAGUAGGAGAGUAACUGCUCUUACCUUGACGGUAUCUAACCAGAAAGCCACGGCUAACUACGUGCCAGCAGCCGCGGUAAUACGUAGGUGGCAAGCGUUGUCCGGAUUUAUUGGGCGUAAAGCGAGCGCAGGCGGUUUCUUAAGUCUGAUGUGAAAGCCCCCGGCUCAACCGGGGAGGGUCAUUGGAAACUGGGARACUUGAGUGCAAAAGARGAGAGUGGAAUUCCAUGUGUAGCGGUGAAAUGCGUA